rnacentral:rRNA from 2 species
GAACUCUGGUAUUGAUUGGUGCUUGCAUCAUGAUUUACAUUUGAGUGAGUGGCGAACUGGUGAGUAACACGUGGGAAACCUGCCCAGAAGCGGGGGAUAACACCUGGAAACAGAUGCUAAUACCGCAUAACAACUUGGACCGCAUGGUCCGAGUUUGAAAGAUGGCUUCGGCUAUCACUUUUGGAUGGUCCCGCGGCGUAUUAGCUAGAUGGUGGGGUAACGGCUCACCAUGGCAAUGAUACGUAGCCGACCUGAGAGGGUAAUCGGCCACAUUGGGACUGAGACACGGCCCAAACUCCUACGGGAGGCAGCAGUAGGGAAUCUUCCACAAUGGACGAAAGUCUGAUGGAGCAACGCCGCGUGAGUGAAGAAGGGUUUCGGCUCGUAAAACUCUGUUGUUAAAGAAGAACAUAUCUGAGAGUAACUGUUCAGGUAUUGACGGUAUUUAACCAGAAAGCCACGGCUAACUACGUGCCAGCAGCCGCGGUAAUACGUAGGUGGCAAGCGUUGUCCGGAUUUAUUGGGCGUAAAGCGAGCGCAGGCGGUUUUUUAAGUCUGAUGUGAAAGCCUUCGGCUCAACCGAAGAAGUGCAUCGGAAACUGGGAAACUUGAGUGCAGAAGAGGACAGUGGAACUCCAUGUGUAGCGGUGAAAUGCGUAGAUAUAUGGAAGAACACCAGUGGCGAAGGCGGCUGUCUGGUCUGUAACUGACGCUGAGGCUCGAAAGUAUGGGUAGCAAACAGGAUUAGAUACCCUGGUAGUCCAUACCGUAAACGAUGAAUGCUAAGUGUUGGAGGGUUUCCGCCCUUCAGUGCUGCAGCUAACGCAUUAAGCAUUCCGCCUGGGGAGUACGGCCGCAAGGCUGAAACUCAAAGGAAUUGACGGGGGCCCGCACAAGCGGUGGAGCAUGUGGUUUAAUUCGAAGCUACGCGAAGAACCUUACCAGGUCUUGACAUACUAUGCAAAUCUAAGAGAUUAGACGUUCCCUUCGGGGACAUGGAUACAGGUGGUGCAUGGUUGUCGUCAGCUCGUGUCGUGAGAUGUUGGGUUAAGUCCCGCAACGAGCGCAACCCUUAUUAUCAGUUGCCAGCAUUAAGUUGGGCACUCUGGUGAGACUGCCGGUGACAAACCGGAGGAAGGUGGGGAUGACGUCAAAUCAUCAUGCCCCUUAUGACCUGGGCUACACACGUGCUACAAUGGAUGGUACAACGAGUUGCGAACUCGCGAGAGUAAGCUAAUCUCUUAAAGCCAUUCUCAGUUCGGAUUGUAGGCUGCAACUCGCCUACAUGAAGUCGGAAUCGCUAGUAAUCGC